AGUACAAUACAAGACUGAAAUAGAAAAAUGCAGGUACAAAAAUAAAUGUUCAAGAAGACAGUACCAGCACAAAAGGGUAAUAUAGUCGUUUAUGUAACUAAUAUAAGCUUCUCCACAUUAUAGAAGCAUCAUAUAAGUAUCAUCCCACAAAAGUGAAACAAACAGAAGCAUUCUGGCUUGGUUGAUAGAAGUUCUGUCAAUCGGAAAGUUGCAUGGUCAAUUCCCUAUCUGUCGAAGUGUCCUUGAACAAGACACUGAACCCCAAACUGGAUGGACUGAGCGCCUUGCAUGGCAGCUG